rnacentral:rRNA from 1 species
UACAGAGGGGGCUAGCGUUAUUCGGAAUUAUUGGGCGUAAAGGGCGCGUAGGCGGCCAUGCGUGUCUUCCGUGAAAUCCCUCGGCUUAACUGAGGACGUGCGGAAGAAACUGCAAGGCUCGAGUCCGGGAGAGGGGGGUGGAAUUCCCGGUGUAGCGGUGAAAUGCGCAGAUAUCAGGAAGAACACCCGUGGCGAAGGCGGCUCUCUGGGACGUGACUGACGCUGAGACGCGAAAGCGUGGGGAGCGAACAGG